rnacentral:rRNA from 1 species
UACGUAGGGUGCAAGCGUUGUCCGGAAUUAUUGGGCGUAAAGAGCUCGUAGGCGGUUUGUCGCGUCUGCUGUGAAAAUCCGAGGCUCAACCUCGGCCUGCAGUGGGUACGGGCAGACUAGAGUGCGGUAGGGGAGAUUGGAAUUCCUGGUGUAGCGGUGGAAUGCGCAGAUAUCAGGAGGAACACCGAUGGCGAAGGCAGAUCUCUGGGCCGUAACUGACGCUGAGGAGCGAAAGCGUGGGGAGCGAACAGG